UUGGCGCCAAACAGUUGGGCCUGGGUAAAGCCUGUCCAUAAAUACCCAUCCACCAGCACACUGUACAAUACAAAAUAGCAUAGCAGUGUACAAUCAUGGAAAUUGAAGAUGAACCGAUUCCAAUGGAAGAUGAAACCAUUAUUCCAGUGAAGGAGCCACCUAAGAUUCAACGGUUGGAUGAAUCAGUGGUGAACAGAAUCGCGGCUGGGGAAGUAAUCCAACGGCCAGUAUCUGCUGUGAAAGAGCUAAUUGAGAACAGCUUGGAUGCUAAUUCCACAUCUAUUUCGGUUGUUGUUAAGGAUGGUGGUCUUAAACUUAUCCAAGUUUCCGAUGAUGGUCAUGGCAUCCGUUAUGAGGAUUUGCCAAUUUUAUGCGAGAGGCAUACGACGUCGAAGCUGAGUAAAUUUGAAGAUUUGCAGUCGAUUAGGUCGAUGGGAUUUAGAGGAGAAGCAUUGGCUAGCAUGACCUAUGUGGGUCAUGUCACUGUCACCACCAUUACCAUGGGCCAGUUGCAUGGAUACAGGGCAACAUAUAGAGAUGGUUUGAUGGAGGAUGAGCCAAAAGCUUGUGCGGCUGUCAAGGGUACCCAGAUGAUGAUUGAAAAUUUGUUUUAUAACAUGGCUGCACGAAGGAAAACCCUUCAGAAUUCUGCCGAUGACUAUCCAAAAAUUGUCGACCUUAUUAGUAGGUUUGCAGUUCAUCACACACAUGUGAGCUUCUCUUGUAGAAAGCAUGGAGCUGGUAGAGCAGAUGUUCACACUCUCGCUACUUCUUCAAGGCUUGAUGCAAUUAGAUCUGUUUAUGGAGUUUCAGUUGCUCGAAAUCUGAUAAAAAUCGAAGUUUCUGAUACUGGUCCAUCAAAUUCAGUUUUUAGGAUGGAUGGUUUCAUCUCCAACUCUAAUUAUAUUGCAAAGAAGAUAACCAUGGUGCUUUUCAUAAAUGAUAGACUCGUUGAUUGUGGUGCUUUGAAGAGGGCAAUUGAAAUAGUCUAUACUGCAACAUUGCCUAAAGCAUCAAAACCUUUCAUAUACAUGUCAAUCAUUUUGCCACCUGAGCAUGUUGAUGUGAAUAUACACCCAACAAAGAGAGAGGUAAGCCUUCUGAAUCAAGAGUUCUUCAUUGAGAAGAUCCAGUCUGUAGUAGAGUCAAAAUUGAGAAGCUGCAAUGUGUCAAGGACAUUCCAGGAACAGACCAUUGAAUUCUCUUCAUCCAGUCCAAUGGCCACAAUUAAAGAUUCCACUAAAGAUCCGUCUCCUUCUGGGAUAAAGUCGCAAAAAGUGCCACGUAAGAUGGUACGAACAGAUACUUUGGACCCUUCUGGAAGGUUGCAUGCUUACAUGCAAAUGAAGCCUCCUAGUAAUUCAGAAAGAGGUUCUUGCUUGAGCUCUGUGAGGUCUUCUAUCAGACAAAGGAGGAAUCCUAGUGAAACCGCAGACCUCACUAGCAUCCAGGAGCUUGUUAAUGAGGUUGAUAAUGAUUGUCACCCUGGUCUAUUGGAUGUUGUUAGGCAUUGCACAUAUACUGGGAUGGCGGAUGAGAGUUUUGCUUUACUUCAACACAACACACACCUUUAUCUUGUUAAUGUGAUUAACUUGAGUAAAGAGCUUAUGUAUCAGCAAGUUUUACGUCGGUUUGCCCAUUUCAAUGCAAUUCAACUGAGUGAACCAGCAUCAUUACCUGAGUUAAUAAUGCUUGCUCUGAAAGAAGAGGGUACAGAUCCAGAAGGCAAUGAAAGCAAUGAGCUAAGAGGAAAGAUUGCCGAGAUGAAUACAGAACUGCUCAAGCAAAAGGCUGAAAUGCUAGAGGAGUAUUUUGGUAUUUGUAUCGAUUCAAAUGGCAAUGUGUCUAGACUUCCUGUUAUACUGGAUCAGUACACACCUGACAUGGACCGCAUCCCAGAACUUAUACUUUGUUUGGGAAAUGAUGUUGACUGGGAGGACGAGAAAGUUUGUUUUCAGACAAUUGCUGCUGCCUUAGGAAAUUUUUAUGCCAUGCAUCCACCUUUAUUGCCCAAUCCCUCAGGUGAUGGCUUGAAAUUCUACAGAAAGAGAGUGCUUUCAAGUGGUUCAGAAGGAACUUCUAUAGAAAACAUAGAUAAUGAUACCAUGGAGGCUGAAUUUGAGGAAGAAUUACUUUUGGAAGCCGAAAAUGCCUGGGCUCAACGUGAAUGGUCAAUUCAGCAUGUUCUGUUUCCCGCCCUCAGGCUCUUCUUCAAGCCCCCUACUUCCAUGGCUACAAAUGGAACUUUUGUUCAGGUCGCAUCACUGGAAAAGCUCUACAGAAUUUUCGAGAGAUGUUAAAUGUAGGAGAAUUUUGAUGUGACCUCCUUGAAACAAAAGGAUGUACAAAAUGUACAGUUACUGAUAUGAGAAUGAAAUUCCCCGGCCCCUAACCCUGAAGAACAAAAAGAUGAAGCAGUUACAAGUUCUUUUUGGCAGUGAAGAUGGUCGGAUUGGUUAUAGUGCCCCUCAAGUGUUUUGUUGUGCUCUUCAUACGUUUGUUGUCAAAAGAAGCAAAAUGGAAGCUCAAUGCAGGAAGAGGUUUGGACAAGCUGAAGAGCAUGGAGGGGAAGGAGAAUAUGGUAAUGCUUCAAAUAAGACUGUUCUCUCUAAUCAUUUGGUAUGAUUUUUUGCAAUAUGGAUAUCUUAAUUGACUUAUCCUCAUGUGUGUUUACUACAAUUGAAAAAAAAUAUAUAUUAUAUAAUUAGAAUUCUAUGAAGCAGACAUGUGUAACAUGUUGACGGAGAGAUGCUUAACUCCCACUUAUAAGGUGUAGUAAAUCCCAUCGCCGCCAUUUUAUCUUUUGCUUCAUUAGUGUUUCUAUUCCCUCUUGAUAAUUUUUGAU